UACGAAGGGGGCUAGCGUUGUCCGGAAUCAUUGGGCGUAAAGCGCGCGUAGGCGGCCAGAUAAGUCCGGUGUGAAAGUCAAAGGCUCAACCUUUGAAUGCCGCUGGAAACUGCCUGGCUUGAGUCCGGAAGGGGCGAGUGGAAUUCCUGGUGUAGCGGUGAAAUGCGCAGAUAUCAGGAGGAACACCGGUGGCGAAGGCGGGACUCUGGGCCGAUACUGACGCUGAGGAGCGAAAGCGUGGGAGCGAACAGG
rnacentral:rRNA from 1 species